ACACCACAAAGAACAGGGAUAAUUGUUUGUGGACACAAGAACAAGCAUUUUUAUUUCACCUUCAAGUUUGACUGUUUUAAACUUUACUUAUCAAUGAGAUUAUAAGAAUUUAAAAAUUUAAAGUGACCUCCCUUUUUCCUGAAGUUGCUUUGUAGUCCAUGGGGAGUCAAUACAGCAUUAAAAGAUUAUCAUUAGUGUCCACUGGAAUGAUAUGGAAGUUUCUAAAAGUUUAACAGAAGAUUAAAGGAAAAAGAGUUCCCAAAUGGGAAUAAGAGAUCCAACCCUUAUUCAUUGCAUUCUAAGGUAUGUUUGUUUUUCAUGCAUUUGUUUUUACUUUAUAUUGAAAAAUUCAUGAAAAAAUAUUUUUCUUUCAAAUUUGAUUUAGUUCUUCGAACAAUUUCAUAAUAUCAUACUUUGAAUAUACUUUUAUAAGUGGAUAAAUGAAUGGAUCCGCCUUAUAAGCAGGUGUGGCAGAAGUCGAAUUCUUGGCCGUAGAUGGCCCACUGAAAAACAAAAACAAUCACAUCACUGAGUGCCUUAAUGGCACACGACAAGAACAACAUGGAAUUUUUAAAAGAAUUUACAAUGAGAACUUAUAAGAAGUGAAUAAUUAAUUUGUUUUACCAGCAUUAAAUUUUUUUAAUGCAUAUAUGAGCCUUUAAUUGCUCAGACUAUCAGUAUUGUAUCAUGAAAAUGAUUUACUUCCACUGUUACAUCUGAUUUCCAAUUGGUGCUAGUGUUACCAUUUUCCUAUGUGAUGUCAUAUUUUGUGUCAUACAAUGCAUUUGUUAUGUGAGAUUUGUUUAAGACAAUGUAUUAUAGUCUAAAUGUAAGCUUUUUCCCACCUAA